CCUACGGGUGGCAGCAGUGGGGAAUAUUGCACAAUGGGGGAAACCCUGAUGCAGCGACGCCGCGUGAGUGAAGAAGUUAUUCGGUAUGUAAAGCCCUAUUAGCAGGGAAGAAAAUGACGGUACCUGAGUACUAAGCCCCGGCUAACUCCGUGCCAGCAGCCGCGGUAAUACGUAGGGGGCAAGCGUUAUCCGGAUUUACUGGGUGUAAAGGGAGCGUAGACGGCAGUGCAAGUCAGGAGUGAAAGGCUGGGGCUUAACCCUAGGACUGCACUUGAAACUGUAAGGCUGGAGUACAGGAGAGGUAGGUGGAAUUCCUGGUGUAGCGGUGAAAUGCGUAGAUAUUAGGAGGAACACCAGUUGCGAAGGCGGCCUACUGGACUGUAACUGACGCUGAUGCUCGAAAGCGUGGGGAGCAAACAGGAUUAGAUACCCCUGUAGUC
rnacentral:rRNA from 1 species